rnacentral:rRNA from 1 species
GACGAACGCUGGCGGCGUGCUUAACACAUGCAAGUCGAACGGAAAGGCCCUGCUUUUGUGGGGUGCUCGAGUGGCGAACGGGUGAGUAACACGUGAGUAACCUGCCCUUGACUUUGGGAUAACUUCAGGAAACUGGGGCUAAUACCGGAUAGGAGCUCCUGCUGCAUGGUGGGGGUUGGAAAGUUUCGGCGGUUGGGGAUGGACUCGCGGCUUAUCAGCUUGUUGGUGGGGUAGGGGCUUACCAAGGCUUUGACGGGUAGCCGGCCUGGGAGGGUGACCGGCCACAUUGGGACUGCGAUACGGCCCAGACUCCUACGGGAGGCAGCAGUGGGGAAUAUUGCACAAUGGGCGGAAGCCUGAUGCAGCAACGCCGCGUGCGGGAUGACGGCCUUCGGGUUGUAAACCGCUUUCGCCUGUGACGAAGCGUGAGUGACGGUAAUGGGUAAAGAAGCACCGGCUAACUACGUG